rnacentral:rRNA from 1 species
UAAUACGUAGGUGGCGAGCGUUGUUCGGAUUUAUUGGGCGUAAAGGGUCCGCAGGAGGUUUGUUAAAAUUGGGGUGAAAUCCCGGAGCUCAACUCCGGAACUGCCUUGAUGACUGACGAACUAGAGUGCUGGAGAGGUAAGCGGAAUACCAGGUGUAGCGGUGGAAUGCGUAGAUAUCUGGUAGAACACCGAAAGCGAAGGCAGCUUACUGGACAGCAACUGACUCUCAGGGACGAAAGCGUGGGGAGCAAACAGG